rfam:Nitrospirae bacterium RIFCSPHIGHO2_02_FTLL_40_19 rifcsphigho2_02_scaffold_30869, whole genome shotgun sequence.
GCCGAUGUAGCUCAGCGGCAGAGCAACUGAUUCGUAAUCAGUAGGUCGAGGGUUCAAGUCCCUCCAUCGGCU